GUUGAAGUCUAGUCCACUCGUCACUAACUGGUCGGCAGGCGUUAACAGAAGCAUCCUGUUGGAAAAAGCUGCUUAGUUUGUGGUUUUCGUAUUAUCCACUGGUAAGUUAUAUUAUAAUAAUAAUAUGGUUAAUGACAUGUACUUGAAGAUUAUCUGCGUUUAAAAUAACGUAUCGUAUACAUUACAUGUCGCUCAACAGAACAGGUGACAAAUCUAUCAUCUGUUCUAAUAUGGCAAUAAAUAUCAUGUUUUAUAGCUCCUUGCGCCAUCUGUUUUGUGUUUGUCACUUUUUCACUAACUGAUUUGCUCAAAAAGAUAUGCAGACAGCAAGACUGGUUGAACGAAAAUUUCUGCGGUGACGCGGCUGAAAAUUUUCCAUACAGAUUUCAGUAUUUUUUAGAAAAAACAAGAGCGCUCUCCCUUCGUGAGAAAAUUCUGUUGGAGGACACACAAAAAAUAUUAUAAGACAAUAUUAAUAUUAGUUCUGUCGCUCUGAAAUGUUUGCCUAUGAAAUUUUGCCGUGUCUGGGUUCAAGUUCAUACAACGUGUGCCAUAUUAUAGAGGACAUAUAUAAAUUACUACAUGUGUUCAGUAUAUUUUAACUUGCGAGAAAUUUAUCUGCCCUGACAGAGAAGCGCUGUUCUUAUUAACGGCUAACGAUAUCACAAGCUGUAUCUGAAAUCAGAGCAAUCUGUUUUUCUGUUCACUUUAUGGACCAGACAUACUUUAUAGGUUGCAGAAGUUUGAGACAGAGGCAAGCGGCCGCACCUCCACAUAUAUAUGCAAUAUGAAUACAUAAUUAGCAUGGAGUGUGUAACUGUUUUGCCGAAUUUGGAAUGAAUUUAAUUUCCACCACUAUAUAUGUUAUUUGUUUAUACAUAUACCACAUGCAUGUAGCGUGAAGCGUUUAAAAACGCGGUGCAUGUGUUACUAUGAUAGUCUAUGUAUCUCCGCUUGACCUUAUUUGUACGUAAGGUUAGACUUGCGAGUUGCGACUAGCAAGUCUGAAGCAAGACAUCUUCAAACAUGUGACCGUAGUCAGCGAAUCAGGUAUCAAAACGAUACGGCUGCUGUCUAGCGACAUAGCUUGCCUUUGAUACAGGAAACGUUGCAGCCUAGCGCAAAACGCUGAUAUCUUGCCAUUGGCAUUGUCGACGUUUUUCUCGAUAUUAUUCCUCGUUUAUUUCCGUUCGCCUAUACCUCAAAAUAGCUUAUUUGAUGUUCUGGCAAUGUGACAGAAACAUUUUAUUCGAUUUGAAUGAAAUGGAUUUUGCGACAUGCUGUGCGGUAAUUUUCAGUAAGGUCUGAAAGUUCUCAAGUCAUUAUUUGCUUAACCGCUCAUCCCAGAAAGGCAGAAACCGUCCUGAUGGUUGGCUUGUUUAACGCAGGAAAGAAAUUGUGCUAAACGAUACAAUCUCAAUCGACCCCAAUUGACCUCUAUAGACUAUAUAUAGGCAGUUUGCAGACACCAGCAAAUAGACUAACUGGAGAAAUAUUUUAUACUUGUCCAAAUGAACUGAAGCUUAUUAUAGUUAUAGAAUGCUUUAAUUGCUUUUCUACCGUCGUGCAGACUCACUAUAUAUACUGGAUAUAUAUAAGCAUUUCUGAAACAUAUUAUAGACAAGCAAACAGCGCUGUUAUUUAGUUUGCGGUUAACAGACGUUUAACUUUAAAUGCGCAAAAUUGUUUAUCUACCGGGUGUCCCAAAAAAAAACUGGACACUGCGUAAUAAGUGAUUUCAUGUAAGUGUAACGUAAAAGCUAAUAAUCAUUGCAUUCAGAAACGACUAACUUAGAUUCUAAUAUAUAGCAAUAAUUGAAUUUACAUGCAAUAUUGAGCGAGAUACAACUGUUCGAAUUUGGAAUGCAUUUGAUUGUUUUAUGCUAAUUUUUGGAAUUUUUAAAAACAGUAGUUCAACGUUCAAACAUCGAUGGUGCAGUCAAUAUUGCAUGUAAAUUCAAGUGUUAUAUAUCAAAAUCUAAGUUAGUCCUAUCUGAAUGCAAUGAUCUUUAUUUCAUCGCGAUAGCUUUUAUAUCUUUUACGUUACAUGAAAUCAAACAGUGUCCAGUUUUUUGGGGGCACCCGGUAGAUGUAAGCCGGCAUAACCCUUCUGGCAUUAAGACGAUAUAAGAAUAUAUAAGUCCAUUAAGUCAUUACAAAUUACAUGCAGUCAAUACACUAUAAAGUAGAUAUAAUUAGGUAAUUAAUAAAUAAUUAUGAAUAAGACAAACAAUCAGAGAUACAAUUAUCUCAUUAAAUGAACUGGUGUCGCAAUUAUACUUGUAUCAAAGGCAAUUCAUUAUUCCUUAAUUCGUCUGAGAGGCUAUUCCACAGUUUUGCGAUUUGCCUCUAUAACAAAGACUUUUUUAAGAUAUUCAGUCUUAGGAUUGGGCAAUAUAGUUCAGUGCACGUAAGAGCCUUCGGAUUUCACUACGCUACCUCUCAUUUAUAUAUGGCUAAUAACGCAUUUGAUUGGUUAAUCGGGUAGAUUAGACCAUUUAGACAUAUCCGAUUGUUUAUAAUAAUGGUUGGGAUGGCGAUAUCGGAAUUCAAACCGCGAGAGGAAGAUGUCUUUUCAUUAUCGUUAUCGAACCUUUUCAUCAGAUUUUCAUUUCAUUAUCUGAAGAUCGAAAAAUUAUAUAUAUAUAUAUAUAUAUAUAUAUAUAUAUAUAUAUAUAUAUAUAUAUAUAUAUAUAUAUAUAUAUAUAUAUAUAUAUAUAUAUUCUAUUUAUAUAUAUAUAUAUAUAUAUAUUCUAUUUAUAUAUAUAUACUAUAUAUAUAUAUUCAUAUAUAUUUGUUUAUAUUUUAGGUAAAACAAUGUCUGAAGUGUGUCCCUGUUGCGACAGUGUUGUUUACUCUGCCGAAAAGGCUGCAAUUUCUGGAAAGAAGGGUGAUGUGUACCACAAAAAGUGUAUGAAAUGUUGUAUGUGCAAUAAACGUCUGGAUAGCAUGACCUUUAACGAGCAUGACGGUAACGUAUUUAUAUAUAUAUUAGCGUACUACAAAUAUAAUAUAGUUGUACUGUGUAAAUCAAGCACACAAUUCACCUACUACAACGUAUAGGCGAUUGUAUUGUGUAUUGACUUACACAGUACAACACAACGUAGGUGAGUUGUGUGCUUGAUUUACACAGUACAACUCAAGUUGUAAGCAGGUUGCAUGCAUGCGAGAGUUUUAGACAAAAGUUUUGUAGUGGUACAGUAGUGUAAGUCGUCUUUUAUUGAGGUCGAUCACCGUGACCGUGCACAAAUUAACCUGAACAAAAACAUAACACAAUGACUUCUGUUCACUUUCCACACCAUCAUAUCUUUAUACGCUAUGAAUAAACAACCUCGUUCCCAGCUCUUGUCCUGGUAGGAGCUGGUCACGUGAUCUGCUAAAAUCUAACAGAUGUUUAAAUAAUUGAUGAUGAUGAUGAUGAUGAUGAUGAUAAAUAUUUGAUAUUUAUCCUUUAAUUUACAACUUGCAUUUUGUUUUGCAAGUUUGAUUUGAUUUAAAGGAAUCCAAGAUAGUUAAUUAGAAAUCUGCUAGAUUUUAGCAGAUCACGUGACCAGUUCCUACACACGUAAAAACGCACAAGUUGUUACAAGUCUGCAAACAAGUUGUUACAAAUCUGCUCACAAGCUGUCAACAAGUUGUGUUCGCACUGCUUGUUCCCAGUUGUUGGAAACAAGUUUGGAACAAGAUGUUGUUAACAACUGGUAACAAGCUUGAUGGCAUUAUCAGACUUGUCACAAGGUUGUUCUAACAAGUCUGAUACAGUCAUGAUGAACAAGGAUGUUACAAGGUUGACGACACAGGUUGUAAUAAUACUGCUAUGUCAUGACUGUAUAGGACUUUCUGGAACAACCUUGUAACAAGUCUGAUCAUAUCAACAAGGUUUUUACAAAUUGUUAACAGCUUGUUCCAAACUUGUUGACAACUUGGGACAAGCAGUGCGAACACAACUUGUUGACGGCUUGUUGGCAGACUUGCUACAAGCUAGAUGUGAGAUUUUUAUGCGUGUACCAGGGUCUUUCCUGGUAACGAGGUUGAUAAAACGACAGCCAUGUUGUUGCAAAUUUCAAUGAAAGAUAAUAAUAUUGGCAUCAACUAUUUCGCCAACCUCAGAAUGACAUUUCGUCAAAAAAUGUUUCUUCAAGAUUGGUUUAGAAACAAAUUUAGAGUAGGGUUAGGUUAGGGUAAGGAUUAGGGUUAUGGUUAGAGUUGGUGUUUGGAGUAGCGUUAGUGUUAGUAAAACCGUUGCUUUGUUACGUUUUGUCACUCUGAGACCAGCGAAAUAAUCUCUUCCAAUAAUAUUCUGUACCCUGUACUGUCAGAAGUUGAUGGCACAAAAAUGCAUAGAGUUUAACGAUGUGUAUUUUUCUACAGGUAUGCUGUACUGUAAGGCACACUACUGCAAAGUAUGUAAUAUUCAUGGUUAUGGAUUUGGACAAGGUGCUGGAACGUUCCCUACCACGGAAUGAAAGUGCGUGGCAUUUCGAUAAAACUUGAACACUAUGAUAUUCUAGCGCGUGUACUUUAUUUAGUUCAAUACAGAGUAACAAUUAAUAAAAUUAUAAUUCUUCUCUAAUUGCCUGCUUCUAUUAGGAUUUUUUUACCACUGCAGUGAAUUUUUAUACUAGGCUGUUUCUAUUUUUACACCUAUAUAUUUGUAUAAAUACACAAUAAAUGUAAUUAUACCGUGAC